GUAGUCGUAAACCCCGGGCUGCAUGCGCUGGAAGUUCAUAAUCUCAUACCUGAUGAGGGUGAGUCCCCGUUCUCGUCGAACCAUAUGUCCUCUCCGGAGACGCCCGUGAAAGACGUUUUGAGCAGGAAGUCCAGCAAGUGGCGUCCAUCGACGGGCACCAUGUCGUCACACAGACCCACGUGGCCGGGGCAGAGGCUCCCUGCUGAGGGGCACCGAGAGCUGACUGUACUCGCCAGAAGAGGGAAAGAAUAAAAAAAGGAAAGAAAGUCCACAGACUGAAUCACAAGUCCGGUGAGAAUUCACAGAUCAGUGCUGGAGCAGACAAUCGAGCUUCCACCAUCAUGCACGCACAGAUUCUUCCGAGUGUGACUUUGUUUCCACACUGGUAAGUUAUUGGUAUUUAUAUUUUAGACGUGUAGAUAAUACUUUGAAAGUCCAUCUUGUUUAAUCCUCCCACAAAACACCAUGCAGAUUAGACAGAGGGCUUUGUUUGCUGCUUCACAAAUGAAAACAUACCCCAAUGCCCCUGAAAGAAAAACCCCUUCAUUUGAGUUGCAAAUGCCUCUCGGGUAUUUUUUUUUUACAGUGGGAUUAUGCAUCGCUGGAAUUUGCAUAUGUGCCAAACUGUACUGCGUUUUGUAUGAGUCAGAAAUGAAGGAGUGCACUGAGGAAUAUGUAUUUAAAGAGGAGGAUUUGAGGCGUUGAAAGCUGCUUCUUCUAAUUCUUAAAGCACACUGAAAUUAAAAGAUC